rnacentral:lncRNA from 1 species
GUAAAAACUUAAUUUGCUCCCUUUGUGUUCAUCCAACAGUUCCUCUAUUAUGGGAAUGGGAAAUUUGUUCUUCACAGUGAUGUUGUUUAAGGCCAUGUAAUCUACGCAAAAUCUCUAUAUGUUGUCCUUUUUCUUCAAUAACAAUACAGGAUAAGCAUAUGGUGAAGUAAUAUGUUUAAUAAUCCCACUAUAUAGCAUUUCUCUAACCAUUUUCUGUCUUCUGCAUGUAAGGAUACCUGUAUGGAUUUGAAUUUACUGGACUGCAACCUGCCAUGAUGAGAAUAUGAUGAUCUUGGGUCCUUUUUGGCGGCAGCCCUUGAGGCUCCCUGAAAAUGUCUUCAUAUUCUUCUACUAAAAUCUUAAUUUCUGGAGGUAAUGCUUGCUCCUUAGUUGUCGUUUCUUCUAUUGCAUGCAACUGAACUAGAAAAUAAGCUUCCUCUGUGGGUUUCCAAUGAAACUUGUCAACCACUUGCAUAGUAUACGAGUGUGCAGCCAAUUCAUGAUCUCCUAAUGUUAUUCUCAUCCCUUUCCAAUGAAUGAUAAGUUGAAAACCUUUCUUUCCUCAAAAUCAAAGAUUAUAGGCCUCAGUCUUCAUCCACUGGACCCCUAGGAAAACAUCAUACCCUCCCAAAGGAAUUAUAAACAUCGGAGCCUUAAAUUUUUUGUGAAUCAUUUCCCAUGUAAAUCCUGAGAUUAUCCUAUCACAAUCGAUGGUUUCCCCAUUUGCAAUAGUCACCUUGAUUGGAGUACAUGGCUCAGUUGUCAACUGGUACUUUUUAACCAAGGAUUCUAAUAUGAAAUUAUGAGUGGAGCCACUACCAAGUAGUAUACUGAUUCGUCUGUUCUUGAUAUACCUUUUUUACUUGAGUGUAUGCAACCCAUGUGUUCCAGUAAUAUCAUGAAUGGACACUCCACAGUUAUCUUCUAUUUGUAGUAUCUCUUCUCCUUUUUCUUGUAUUAUCAUUGUUAAUUCUUGUUGGUUCUCUCCUAGUUGUUGUAUUUGAUUCUCUUCCUCAUAUGUGAUCAUAAUGUAGAUAUGUUUAUUCUUGCAUUUGUGCCCUUGUGCAUACACUUCAUCACAGUAAUAACACAAGCCUUUCUCCCUUCUAGCUAGUUGUCAUUUCAGUUGUACUUAAUCUUUUAAUUGGAAAAGUUCUUUAACUGGUUCCUCUUUUGGCAACAAUUUUGUAUGGCUCCUUGUAGGACUCCUUGCUGACCACAGAGUUGGUUUUAAUGUGAUUUCCUGCAACUGGUUUAGUGGUUGACUGACUCCUUUUUUCUGAGGACUUCAAAUAC